rnacentral:rRNA from 1 species
GAUGAACGCUGGCGGCGUGCCUAAUACAUGCAAGUCGAGCGAACAGAAGAGGAGCUUGCUCCUCUGACGUUAGCGGCGGACGGGUGAGUAACACGUGGAUAACCUACCUAUAAGACUGGGAUAACUUCGGGAAACCGGAGCUAAUACCGGAUAAUAUAUUGAACCGCAUGGUUCAAUAGUGAAAGACGGUUUUGCUGUCACUUAUAGAUGGAUCCGCGCCGCAUUAGCUAGUUGGUAAGGUAACGGCUUACCAAGGCGACGAUGCGUAGCCGACCUGAGAGGGUGAUCGGCCACACUGGAACUGAGACACGGUCCAGACUCCUACGGGAGGCAGCAGUAGGGAAUCUUCCGCAAAGGGCGAAAGCUUGACGGAGCAACGCCGCGUGAGUGAUGAAGGUCUUCGGAUCGUAAAACUCUGUUAUUAGGGAAGAACAAAUGUGUAAGUAACUAUGCACGUCUUGACGGUACCUAAUCAGAAAGCCACGGCUAACUACGUG